rnacentral:rRNA from 1 species
GAUUUCUGCCCAGUGCUUUGAACGUGAAUAUGAAGUAAUUUGUAGAAGCUCAGGUAAACGCGGGAGUAACUAUGACUCUCUUAAGGUAGCCAAAAUGCCUCGUCAUCUAAUUAGUGACGCGCAUGAAUGGAUCAAUGAGAUUCCCACUGUCCCCUAUUUACUAUUUAGCGAACCCACAGUCAAGGGAACGGGCUUGAAAUAAUCAGCGGGGAAAGAAGACCCCUGUUGAGCUUGACUCUAGUCCGACUUUGUGAAAUGACUAACGAAGUUUAGCCUUAGGUGGGAGCCAACGCGCCAAUGAAAAACCACUAUUUGUUACGUCAUUUUACUUACUCCGUAAAGAAGUGAUCGGUUUACCGAUUCUAGAACUAAGGGUAGUUUACUGCCUGAGCUUUGCGGAAGACACGGUCAGGUGGGGAGUUUGGCUGGGGGCG